CUGGUUGAUUCUGCCAGUAAUCAUAUGCUUGUCUCAAAGAUUAAGCCAUGCAUGUCUACGUACACACUCUAGCACGGUGAAACUGCGGAUGGCUCAUUAGAUCAGUUAUGGUUCCUUAGACGAUACAAUCCUACUUGGAUAACUGUGGUAAUUCUAGAGCUAAUACAUGCACAGAAGCUCCGACCCUCUCGCGAGGGAGGGUGAGAGCGCGUUUAUCAGUCCAACAGACCAGUCGGGCCGCAAGGUCCGUCCUUUUUGGUGACUCUGGAUAACCCUUGCCGAUCGCACGGCCACGAGCCGGCGACGCGUCUAUCAAGUGUCUGCCCUAUCACACUUUCGAUGGUAAGAGAUGUGCCUACCAUGGUGACAACGGGUAACGGGGAAUCAGGGUUCGAUUACGGAGAAGGAGCCUGAGAAACGGCUACCACAUCCAAGGAAGGCAGCAGGCGCGCAAAUUACCCAAUCUCGAUACGAGGAGGUAGUGACGAAAAAUAACAAUACGGGACUCUUUCGAGGCCCCGUAAUUGGAAUGAGUGUACUCUAAACGUGUGCACGAGGACCUAUUGGAGGGCAAGUCUGGUGCCAGCAGCCGCGGUAAUUCCAGCUCCAAUAGCGUAUAUUAAAGCUGUUGUGGUUAAAAAGCUCGUAGUUGGAUCUCAGGGUCGUUUGCGUCGGUCCCUUGCUGAAAUGGCUCGGGUACUGCGCGGUGUCGUCCCCCUUGCCAGACCUCUCAAAAAGGUUGCUCUUGACUGAGUGGCCUGCUCGAGUGGCUGGAGAGUUUACUUUGAAAAAAUUAGAGUGUUCAAAGCAGGCACAGCCCGCCUGUAUAAUGGUGCAUGGAAUAAUGGAAUAGGACCCCGGAUCCUAUUUUGCUGGUUUUUGGAGCUCAGGGGUAAUGAUUAAGAGGAACAGGGCGGGGGCAUCCGUAUUACGGCGUUAGAGGUGAAAUUCUUGGAUCGUCGUAAGACGCCCUACAGCGAAAGCAUCUGCCAAGUAUGUUUUCAUUAAUCAAGAACGAAAGUCAGAGGUUCGAAGACGAUCAGAUACCGUCGUAGUUCUGACCGUAAACUAUGCCAACUGGCAGCCCGUCGGCGUUGCUCUAUUCGACUCGGCGGGAGGCCUACCCGAAAGGAAAGUCUACGGGUUCCAGGGGAAGUAUGGUUGCAAAGCUGAAACUUAAAGGAAUUGACGG
rnacentral:rRNA from 1 species